rnacentral:rRNA from 1 species
CAACGGAGGAAGGUGGGGAUGACGUCAAAUCAUCAUGCCCCUUAUGAUCUGGGCUACACACGUGCUACAAUGGCCGGUACAACGGGCAGCGAAGGAGCGAUCCGGAGCGAAUCCUAAAAAGCCGGUCCCAGUUCGGAUUGCAGGCUGAAACUCGCCUACAUGAAGUUGGAGUUGCUAGUAAUCGCGAAUCAGAAUGUCGCGGUGAAUGCGUUCCCGGGUCUU